rnacentral:rRNA from 1 species
UAGGGAAUCUUCCGCAAUGGGCGAAAGCCUGACGGAGCAACGCCGCGUGAGUGAUGAAGGUCAUCGGAUCGUAAAACUCUGUUAUUAGGGAAGAACAAAUGUGUAAGUAACUAUGCACGUCUUGACGGUACCUAAUCAUAAAGCCACGGCUAACUACGUGCCAGCAGCCGCGGUAAUACGUAGGUGGCAAGCGUUAUCCGGAAUUAUUUGGCGUAAAGCUCGCGUAGGCGGUUUUUUAAGUCUGAUGUGAAAGCCCAAGGAGCAACCGUGGAGGGUAAUUGGAAACUGGAAAACUUGAGUGCAGAAGAGGAAAGUGGAAUUCCAUGUGUAGCGGAGAAAUGCGCAGAGAUAUGGAGGAACACCAGUGGCGAAGGAGACUUUCUGGUCUGUAACUGACGCUGAUGUGCGAAAGCGUGGGGAUCAAACAGG